CACAGACUUAGGCUGCUGGCAACAAACUGACAAUUUUUCCUCAUAAACAUCAUCAACCUUUUAAAGUCGAGUGAAGGCAUAUCGAUUUGAACUCAUAAUGCACCCCAAAAGAUGAUCUGCUCCUGAACUACUCAAACCAUGAAGCAGGAUGUGUUGCUAUGACAACUGGAAUUAGCUGCAG